rnacentral:piRNA from 1 species
UAAUCCGUACUCUUUGAGAAUGGCCACCAGU